rnacentral:rRNA from 1 species
AACGAACGCUGGCGGCGUGCUUAACACAUGCAAGUCGAACGCGAGAGGGACUUCGGUCCUGAGUAAAGUGGCGCACGGGUGAGUAACGCGUGGAUAAUCUGCCCAAUGGACUGGGAUAACAUCUCGAAAGGGGUGCUAAUACCGGAUAAGACCACGGAGUCUUCGGACUCUGCGGUAAAAGGUUGGGACCUUCGGGCCUACCGGCAUUGGAUGAGUCCGCGUACCAUUAGCUAGUUGGUGGGGUAAAGGCCUACCAAGGCGACGAUGGUUAGCUGGUCUGAGAGGAUGAUCAGCCACACUGGAACUGAGACACGGUCCAGACUCCUACGGGAGGCAGCAGUGGGGAAUUUUGCGCAAUGGGGGAAACCCUGACGCAGCAACGCCGCGUGAGUGAUGAAGGCCUUCGGGUCGUAAAGCUCUGACAGAGGGGAAGAAAUGUAGCGGUGCUAAUAUCGCCGUUACUUGACGGUACCCUCAAAGGAAGCACCGGCUAACUCCGUGCCAGCAGCCGCCGCGGUAA